UGAAGCCCCCCUCAAGAUGAGAUUUCCCAUUUCUUCGGAAAGUAAGAUCCCUGAAAGAUGAUCAGGUAGAUAGGUUUGGAGUGGAAGUGUAGCGAUACAUGGAGCGGACAAAUACUAAUCGAUCGAGGACUUAACCAAAA
rnacentral:rRNA from 1 species